CAGCAGUAAGGGAAGGGCUUGGGACAGGAAAAGGUGUUUUUAGAGUCUCUUGUCCUGUUGGAGUUGUCUGAACUCCAGGAUUGGCCAGAGGGUCCUGCUGAUUGACAGGCUGUUAGUCAGGAGAUCCCGCUGAUUGACAGGCAUUUCUGUCAGCACCUGAUUGAUGUUUCUUUUCCACGCAGGCUGCUUUGUUCUAAGUCCCUGCCACCGACCUGACAAAAAGAAUAUUAUGUGUAUUUCAAAUUGAAUUUCAUUAGAAAGACAUCUGUUUGUAUGUCCUUCUAUUAAUGUUACUAAUUUUGAUACUUGCUUAAGGCCCUAAUCACAUAGAACUGCAUUUUAGAGACUUUUCCAGACUAUUUUUUUUUUUUUUAGAACAUGAAAGUAAUUUGUAGUUUGAUACUUUGGUAGGAUCGUCUUUUCCCCUGACACUCAUUCUUCCCAAUUGUUUGAGCAUCCACCAUGAUUACCUGCAGUGAAAAAUUUUCACUUUUCACAUUUGUGGAACUACAUUUUCAGGUAAUAUUUUCAGGUUGGAUGUCUAGAUCAGAGGACAAGUGAAUAUUUAGCUUUGGUGUACACUAAAUUUUCCCUUUCCUUGUAUCUUGUAUCUUGGUAGUUUCUGACUGGACCGUGUUCAAAAAUAAUUUUAGAGAGGGGCUGAGGAUGUAGCUCAGUGGUAGAGUGCUUGCCUAGCAUGCACAGGGCCUGGUUUCAAUUCCCCGGUACUUAAAAACAAAAAUUAUUCUGGAUAAAAAUAAGGAACAUACUUAAAAUUUAACUACAAG
rnacentral:lncRNA from 1 species